UUUGCCGGAAAUACAGGGCGCGGCCAUAUUUAACCAGAAAUACUUAGCGGCCACCAUAUUUAAUCGGAAAAUCAAAGAUACAGUUCCAGGCUCGAGUUCCAGGUUGCAGUUCCAGGCUCAAGUUCCAGAAGCUUAUGUUAGAUCUGGAAGAAAAUAAUUGAGUUGUCUGACAGCAACAAGAGAUGUUAGAGACACAAGUGAAUUCCUCAGGAGAGAAAGAAAUAUCAAGGUCUCAGCACAGAGCAAACCGAUAUUUGAGAGGAGAAAAUGAAUUAUCUGGAGCCAAAUGUAAUUUUAUUUUGGUAGGCCAACAAUCAAUAGAAGAAACGCACAGUCAUUUCAGUAAUUGCCACAGCUUCAUGACAAAUGCUUCCUAGAAACUCCUGGCUAGGUGAUCUCGGCAUCCAGGGUUACUGAGGUGUAUCUUUAAUGCAAGUUAGCUCAGAUGUUCAGAGACACAUGCAAAUUAUGCAAGCAUGUG
rnacentral:lncRNA from 1 species